rnacentral:rRNA from 1 species
UAAGGAAUAUUGGUCAAUGGGCGAAAGCCUGAACCAGCCAUGCCGCGUGCAGGAAGACGGCCCUAUGGGUUGUAAACUGCUUUUGACGGGGAAAAAAGACCGAGACGAGUUUUUGGUUUGCUUNGUACCCGUUUGAAUAAGCAUCGGCUAACUCCGCGCCAGCAGCCGCGGUAAUACGGAGGAUGCAAGCGUUAUCCGGAUUUAUUGGGUUUAAAGGGUGCGCAGGCGGACGAUUAAGUCAGUGGUGAAAUGCAACAGCUUAACUGUUGAACUGCCAUUGAUACUGAUUAUCUAGAGUACAGACGACGUUGGCGGAAUGCGACAUGUAGCGGUGAAAUGCUUAGAGAUGUCGCAGACACCGAUUGCGAAGGCAGCUAACGAGAUGUAACUGACGCUCAUG